rnacentral:tRNA from 1 species
GGAGGAGUACUCAAGCGGUUUACGAGGACGGUUUCGAAAACCGUUGUCGCCUUAGGCGACUCGUGAGUUCGAAUCUCACCUCCUCCG